UACGAAGGGGGCUAGCGUUGCUCGGAAUCACUGGGCGUAAAGGGUGCGUAGGCGGGUCUUUAAGUCAGGGGUGAAAUCCUGGAGCUCAACUCCAGAACUGCCUUUGAUACUGAAGAUCUUGAGUUCGGGAGAGGUGAGUGGAACUGCGAGUGUAGAGGUGAAAUUCGUAGAUAUUGGGAAGAACACCGGUGGCGAAGGCGGCUCACUGGCUCAUUACUGACGCUCAGGCGCGAUAGCGUGGGGAGCAAAAGGG
rnacentral:rRNA from 1 species